rnacentral:tRNA from 1 species
GGCCCCAUCGUCUAGUGGUCUAGGACAUCAGGUUCUCAUCCUGAAAACCGGGGUUCGAGUCCCCGUGGGGUCA